CGAUAUCAGAGAUAAGAACCCUAGCCUUGCAAUCUACCAACAGCAGCCACAACAAAGAUGACUGACGAACUCAAUGGCAACCAGUAGACACCCAUCUGUAGCCUCAUCGAGGACAACAACAACCAGGUAGAACGCUCCUACUAUCAAGUUGAUAACCUCUUUGAAUAUUAUUGGUAAGUUGAAUCUCUAUGUUUACUGGGUAUUGUGAUGAUUUUUCACCAGAAAACAACUACCACAAACAGCUUUCAUCACUGGAGAAAUCUAGAACGAAGAUGCCCUAACCCUUUUUCAUAGCUCCAGUUGUGAGAUUCCCUAACUGAUUUGCCGCCACCAAGAUAUUGGGAACUCCUUCAAAUAAUCAACACAAGUAAAUCCCUUUU
rnacentral:lncRNA from 1 species